GGAUGAAACCUGAUGAACUGUGAUCCCUGACUUUUCAUUUAGUGCCACCUAAAAGUCAAAUGAUCCACGUGUCCACAAGUGGCAUGCUAAUGCUACUUAAUGUAGCAUUUUAAGAAUAAGGCUAGACUGGCAAUGUCCUAUAUUUUUCUAUUUGUCAGCCAACAGUAUUAAAAAAAGAAGAAGAAAGUUUUAGUCCGUUUCUUAAUACUUUACUUCCCUACUUGUUUGUGGCUGGCCUAUUUUCAGCGGUGAGUUCAAUGAUUAGUGCUCCGUGAGUAUUUGGGGCAGCA